GACGAACGCUGGCGGCGUGCUUAACACAUGCAAGUCAAACGGAAAGGCCCCUUCGGGGGUACUCGAGUGGCGAACGGGUGAGUAACACGUGAGUAACCUGCCCUUGACUUCGGGAUAACUUCAGGAAACUGGGGCUAAUACCGGAUAGGAAUCCUUGCUGCAUGGUGGGGGUUGGAAAGCUUCGGCGGUUUUGGAUGGACUCGCGGCUUAUCAGCUUGUUGGUGGGGUAGUGGCUUACCAAGGCUUUGACGGGUAGCCGGCCUGAGAGGGCGACCGGCCACAUUGGGACUGAGAUACGGCCCAGACUCCUACGGGAGGCAGCAGUGGGGAAUAUUGCACAAUGGGCGGAAGCCUGAUGCAGCAACGCCGCGUGCGGGAUGACGGCCUUCGGGUUGUAAACCGCUUUCAGCAGGGGCGAAGCUUGUGGUGACGGUACCUGCAGAAGAAGCACCGGCUAACUACGUG
rnacentral:rRNA from 1 species